rnacentral:rRNA from 1 species
GAUGAACGCUGACAGAAUGCUUAACACAUGCAAGUCGAUGGGGAAGUGGUGCUUGCACCAUGGCAACCAUGGCGGACGGGUGAGUAACGCGUAAGGGACUUACCUGCAGGACUGGGAUAACAGGGGGAAACUCCUGACAAGACCGGAUAAUGUCAUGGAGCUGCAUGGCUUUAUGAUGAAAGGAGACGCCUGCGGAGAGCCUUGCGUCCUAUUAGCUAGUUGGUGAGGUAAUGGCUCACCAAGGCGAAGAUAGGUAGCCGGCCUGAGAGGGUGGACGGCCAAAAGGGGACUGAGAUACGGCACUUACUCCUACGGGAGGCAGCAGGGGGGAAUAUUGGACCAAGGGGGCAACCCUGAUCCAGCAAUUCUGUGUGCACGAAGAAGGUUUUCGGAUUGUAAAGUGCUUUCAGCAGGGAAGAAGUAAGUGACGGUACCUGCAGAAGAAGCGACGGCUAAAUACGUG